rnacentral:rRNA from 1 species
UUGCUCUUCAACGAGGAAUUCCUAGUAAGCGUGAGUCAUCAGCUCGCGUUGAUUACGUCCCUGCCCUUUGUACACACCGCCCGUCGCUACUACCGAUUGAAUGGCUUAGUGAGACCUCGGGAUUGAUAAAUCGCACCUGGCAACAGGAGCUUCUUGUUGAAAACUUGGUCAAACUUGGUCAUUUAGAGGAAGUAAAAGUCGUAACAAGGUAACCGUAGGUGAACCUGCGGUUGGAUCAUUAAUAAAUAUAGAAGGUCUUAAAGACCUCUCUAACAUCUUGUGAAUUGUUUGUGUCUCUAGGUGCUUGUCACCGAUUAAACUUUGUACUACCUUUUCGUCUAAAAAUAAAAAAAAGUAAUUAAAAACAACUUUUGACAACGGAUCUCUAGGCUCUCGCAACGAUGAAGAACGCAGCGAAAUGCGAUAAGUAAUGUGAAUUGCAGAAUUCCGUGAAUCAUUAAAUCUUUGAACGCACAUUGCGCCCUCUGGAAUUCCUAAGGGCAUGCCUGUUCGAGAAUCAGUUUAAUCAUCAAAGCUAUUAUUGUGAAAUGAUAGCUUUGGACUUGGGACUUCUCAUUGUAGAUUCCUUAAUAUCAUUGAGUCUUAUAUACAACUGUAAAGGUUUAUAGAGCAUGACCAACUUUUUAAGUUUUUGAUGCAACUAGAACUUGUCACUUUGGUAUAUCGGACGAAAUUUUACAAAGGCUUUAAAACCCUUUAAGACUUGAUCUCGAAUCAGACAAGACUACCCGCUGAACUUAAGCAUAUCAAUAAGCGGAGGA